rnacentral:rRNA from 1 species
AUUGAACGCUGGCGGCAGGCCUAACACAUGCAAGUCGAGCGAGCGGCAGACGGGUGAGUAAUGUAUGGGGACUGCCCGAUAGAGGGGGAUAACUACUGGAAACGGUAGCUAAUACCGCAUACUAUCGGAUAACCCAUAUGGGAUUAGCUAGUAGGUGAGGUAAUGGCUCACCUAGGCGACGAUCCCUAGCUGGUCUGAGAGGAGGAUCCGCGAGGAUGAGACGGCAGCACGGCCAAGAGUCCGACGGAGGCAGCAGUGGGGAAGAUUGCACAAUGGGCGCAAGCCUGAUGCAGCCAUGCCGCGUGUGUGAGGAAGGCCCUAGGGUUGUAAAAUACUUUCAGUGGGGAGGCGUGAACGAGAGAAGAAGCACCGGCUAACUCCGUGCCAGCAGCCGCGGUAAUUC